CGCCGCGGUUAUACGAGAGGCCCAAGUUAACAGGUUCCGGCAUAAAGUGUGGUUAAGGAUUAGACUUAACUAAAGCCGAAGGCUUUCAGAGCUGUUAUACGCAAAUGAAAAGCUGAAGCCCAACCACGAAAGUGGCUUUAAUAACCCUGACGCCACGAAAGCUACGGAA
rnacentral:rRNA from 1 species